ACCCUUUAAUGUUUGAUGUUCUAACGUGGACCCGUGAUCCGGGUUGCGGACAGUGUCUGGUGGGUAGUUUGACUGGGGCGGUCUCCUCCUAAAGAGUAACGGAGGAGCACGAAGGUUGGCUAAUCCUGGUCGGACAUCAGGAGGUUAGUGCAAUGGCAUAAGCCAGCUUGACUGCGAGCGUGACGGCGCGAGCAGGUGCGAAAGCAGGUCAUAGUGAUCCGGUGGUUCUGAAUGGAAGGGCCAUCGCUCAACGGAUAAAAGGUACUCCGGGGAUAACAGGCUGAUACCGCCCAAGAGUUCAUAUCGACGGCGGUGUUUGGCACCUCGAUGUCGGCUCAUCACAUCCUGGGGCUGAAGUAGGUCCCAAGGGUAUGGCUGUUCGCCAUUUAAAGUGGUACGCGAGCUGGGUUUAGAACGUCGUGAGACAGUUCGGUCCCUAUCUGCCGUGGGCGCUGGAGAACUGAGGGGGGCUGCUCCUAGUACGAGAGGACCGGAGUGGACGCAUCACUGGUGUUCGGGUUGUCAUGCCAAUGGCACUGCCCGGUAGCUAAAUGCGGAAGAGAUAAGUGCUGAAAGCAUCUAAGCACGAAACUUGCCCCGAGAUGAGUUCUCCCUGAGACUUAAAGUCUCCUGAAGGAACGUUGAAGACGACG
rnacentral:rRNA from 1 species